ensembl:lncRNA
AAGGUCCCCUGGGACCAACACAUCUUUGGGAACUCGGGGAGAACUUCUGGGUCACAAAGACUUUGUCAGAUGCAGCCUCUGUUAGGUCAUAGCUGGGUGACCUGGACCACUCUGACCUUCUGUUUCAUCAUCUGGACAGCUAGUAUAGUGACCGCUAGCAGACAACACGGCCUGAGAUAAUGUGUGUGAAGCCUGACACGUAGCUGCUACUGGACAGCAGUAAAUUGUGUUCAUUAAGAUUAUACUGUCUUCUAGAACAGCCCCAAACCUCAGCGCAUUACCCCAGUAGAAGUUUAGCUCUUGCUCACAAAAUUCUAAACAGGUGCUCUUUCAUGGCAAGCCACCUCCAUCCACACAGCCAGCCUCACCACGAUGUCGUCGCCCAUCACUGGUGUCAGCCCCUCAUUGAUCUCACAUCUCAUCUACACACGGCAACCGGUGGAUCCUGUGAGGUCAAGGACCUUGCUAUUCUGCAUAUACUUCUUCAUAAGGAAAGCUGGGCACUGAAGAAUUGAUGCCUGUGAACUGCAGCGUUGGAGAAGACUCUUGACAGUCCUUUGGACUGCAAGGAGAUCUAACCAGUCCAUCUGAGAGUCAAUUCCUAGGCAGGCUGAUAAGAAGUCCAGGGGUCCCCAAGGAGAGAAGGGUCUGGAAUUCUCGAGGAGGAGAAAAGGACAAACAGUUUUUUUUCCCUCUACAUUCCUCAGUCACAUGAAAUGUUUUUAUCUUUAAGCCUGGAACUGAUGAUUACACAACGAACAACUCA